AUUCAGUAGUAUGCUAUGAUAGGCAAAGUUGGUGCACUAUUUAUGGCCAUGGUUCAUAGUUUGGAAUUUUCUUUCUUGAUAUGUUUGGAAUAUUUGCUUAUUGUUUGCAGGUUGUAACAAUGAUGUGGAAAUGUCUAUUUGCAACUAGAAUUGAAACUUAUAUAACGUUUUCUUGGAAAAUCCUAUAUUUCUUCUAUUUAUUUACUUAGAUGUUGGAGGACUUGAGUAAGUUGCUCAGUUCUUUUCUUGGGCGUUGUUUGCUGGGCUUAUUUGAUCGUAC
rnacentral:misc_RNA from 1 species